AAAAGAAAAGAAAAGAAAGGAAAAAAAGGAAGAGAAAGGAAGAAGAAAGAAAGGAAAAAGAUAAAAAAAGCAGAGAAAACGGUGUUCUCUUUGCAAUUUUUGACAAUUUUGAUGUAUUAGAAAUUUUCGAGCAAUAAGAAAUUGUUCGAUUUGAUGAGAACGAUAUGAAAUUGCAUGAUUUUGAUCACUAAAAAAAUUUAUGGUUGAUGAAUUGUUAAUGAAUUUGAUGAGAUUGCAUGAAUUUUUGGGUAUCAAAAUUUUC
rnacentral:misc_RNA from 1 species